CCUGGGGAGUACGGUCGCAAUAUUAAAACUCAAAGGAAUUGACGGGGACCCGCACAAGCGGUGGAUGAUGUGGAUUAAUUCGAUGCAACGCGAAAAACCUUACCUACCCUUGACAUGUCAGGAAACUUCGAGAGAUUGAUGAGUGCCCUAAAGGGAACCUGAACACAGGUGCUGGUUGGUUGUCGUCAGCUCGUGUCGUGAGAUGUUGG
rnacentral:rRNA from 1 species